rnacentral:misc_RNA from 1 species
GAUGAAGAACGUAGCGAAAUGCGAUAAGUAAUGUGAAUUGCAGAAUUCAGUGCAUCAUCGAAUCUUUGAACGCACAUUGCGCCCCCUGGUAUUCCGGGGGGCAUGCCUGUCCGAGCGUCAUUACAACCCUCAAGCUCAGCUUGGUGUUGGGCCCCGCCGCCCCGGCGGGCCCUAAAGUCAGUGGCGGUGCCGUCCGGCUCCGAGCGUAGUAAUUCUUCUCGCUCUGGAGGUCCGGUCGUGUGCUCGCCAGCAACCCCCAAUUUUUUUCAGGUUGACCUCGGAUCAGGUAGGGAUACCCGCUGAACUUAAGCAUAUCAAUAAGCGGAGGA